rnacentral:lncRNA from 1 species
GCAAGAUGUAAGAAUUCUCCUUGGUCAUCUGGUCAUGGAACUGAGGAACUUGUCUGCCCACCGGAAGCCUGCCACCACAAAGAGUUGAGGACCGAACCCAGGGCCUUGCGCUUGCUAGGCAAGCGCUCUACCACUGAGCUAAAUCCCCAGCCCAGCUGAUGACCAUCUUAUAGUGCAUAAGACAACCCUUUUCACCAAUAAAAAUUUUUCUUGUCCC